UGCCCGAUCCGUUCUGCAGGCCCAUACGCGACCCAAGUAGAGUGGGCGCACCAUGAAGCAGGAAAGAAGGGGUAAAGUUCCUCGCCGCCGGCGGCCACCGUGCGCGAGAAAGGAGACGCCGUCCGCCCUGAGCUCCCCUCCUCCCUGCCGGUGCUCCCGGUGCCCGCCGCCGUCUCUGCCCGGCUUCCCUGUCACGGUGGCCGAGCCGCUCGCUUCCUUUCCCCACAGGUCGCGGGCCACGGCCUCCUCCUCUACGGAUGAUUGAUUUGGAACAAAAGUUGCUCCAGGUCCAGGAUGGUCCCUGACAAGGCGAAAAAACAGAGCAGUUCUAGAUUCAUGAAGAUGGUGGCCUUGGAGGUUUUCUGAAGAGCUAAAGGAUGGAAAACAGUUGGGAUAAAAGUAGCUUUGGUGCCUGCACCGGUAGUAUAUGAUGCUAGCUUUUGCUGUCUUAGCUGCUGGAUUUUGAUGAUUUUGCAAGCUUGAUGUGAUUAUGCAAACUGUUAGGAUCUGAGUCUAAACUCCAGCACCUUUUCUUGCCUUUUUUUUGGCUUUCGUUGUGUUUUUAGUUCAGCAUUGUACUCUGUCAUGUUUCGUUAAUUCAGCUGGGUGCAAGGCCUCUGUAUAAUGAUAAUAAUAAAAUAUAAGAUUUCUUUUUGUAUAAAAAAGAGUUUAUGCUUUCAAUUAUUAUAUUAUCAAUUCUUGCUUCUUCUCAUGCUUUACCGUCAGUAGAUUACUUGACGUUUAAGAGAGCAUUUGAGAGCUUUUCAUCAACUGUCAAGUUUACUGUGGUGUUUUGUUUCCUAGGUAUCACAGUAGCAGCAGAAUAUUAUUCGAGCAGUUAGUUGGUUGAACUUGUGCAGUGAUUAUUGUUGUGCCUGGUGGAUGAGAAAAUUAUAUUUUAAUCAGAAGGGCUUGUUACAUAAGUAGAGGCUUCAUAUAACAUGUUGUUUGUUGUUUCAUUUCCUGCUUAUGUCUCAGACUUGGUGAUGGUUGAUUCAGUUGAUCGAUAUCUCGUAUUUUUUCAAAUAUCAAUGUAUGAAUGUAUUAAUUAGGUUCUCAAUAUAUAUUUGCUACAGGUAUGGCUGUAGUCUACACUUCUUCAGAUGUAUACAUACUUUUUUUUAGGUUAUGCUUAUGCUUAACCACACUGAUUAUUUUGCUUCAAAAAAGCUGCCUGCUGCCGUAUUAACACUUAGGGGUAACUUGAAUAAGGGCAAUUCCAUGACUUCACAAAUUGUAAAGAGGUGAGCCUUCAACUUCUGUUUUUUGAAACAGGUGAUAUUAUACAUAUUCAGUUUCUUUUUUACUUCAGCACAUCAAUGCGAUGUUUAUUAAUGCUCCUAAUUCUUCUACCCUAUUGCAGUUACUGAAGGGAACCCGCACGCUUCCAUCCCAUGACCCCUAAAACUGUCGACUAUUGCUAAUGGUUCUGGAGCUUCAAAUUUAGUUUGCUCUUUCUUUGGAAUGGAAUUAAUACAAGCAUUUCCCAAGUUUGGAACCAGAAGAUUCUUUUCAAGCAGACAUCAUAGAGUCAAACACAUAUGCCUAUCAGAAACUGGAAAAGGCUCCUGAGUUUUAGGUUAGGUGAUUGAGCCGUCUGUUUGCGCAAGUGAAGUAGGUUGCAUAUGUAUAUGAUUGAGGUACCUGAGGUCUUGACUCCCUAUCAAAAGGUUUUGUCAUGGAGCAAACUGGGCGCUUUUUAUCUCAUCUAGAAAGUGACCUAAAUCUCAUAGAGUUAUGAUAUAAACUUCCUAUACCAACUCUGCUCAUGCCGAUUUGCUGAGUCAGCAAGCUAUGGUCGAACAGUGGCACAACAAUCUGUCAAAAUAAAUUCAGGUCAUUAUACUAGGUUGACAUGAUAUUGAUAUUAUUAUUUUGCGUGCAUAGAAAGAAAAGCCUUCAGUUUAAGAAAAAAACUCUGCUAAAAUUAUUUUCAAAUUUGUGGAGGACAUUUUAGUUUUUUUUACAGGGAUGUUUUAGGUUUACUUGGUGCUCUUUUUCUGUAGCACUUGUUGGUGCCCAGUACAAUCCCUUUGUCACAGAAUCUUUCUGCUUAGCUGCUCACAACUGUUGCAAUAAUGUUGCUAAAAUAAGUAGGAGGGCUAGGUUCUUCGCAAAUAGGGAAACCAUUAUUGCAUAGGAGCGGCUUUGGUUCCUUGUCAGUUUGGAUAGUUUAAAUUGGCAAAAGAAUGACCUAUUGCAGUGUAGCCUUGUACAUUCACUUUUCUUUGUUAACUCCAGAUCCACAAUAUCCUUCGUUUAUUCUGCAACAGCAAGUUGGCAACAUCUUUGACCAACUAAUUUUCGGUUCUACAGCGACCAUUUUCAUUAUGUAGGCAUAUGGCACACUGCACAGUUAAUUAAUAACAAAUAUCAAGCAGCAUCACGCCUUGUCUUAGAUUCUUCUACCGAAUCCGACUGCAUAGAUUAAUUAUUGGCUGCUUAAUCUACUAUUAUAUUCCUUGUCAUCACAAGGCACGCGCUGGUCCAUGAUUAAGGCCCAUUUACAAACUGUGUAUCUUUCAAUCAGCUGCUGGUCCCAGCGCGGAAAGGUAAAAUAAACAUAUCGAUGGAUCCCAUUAUAAGGUUUCAGAUGGUUUACAAAUGCACUGAUUUUGUCUUCUCUACUUGUUCCUGCUGCAAGAGAUUGCUCUGUUUCCGCCCAUUGUCCUUGGUCCUCCAUCUUACAUGCAGUUGCUUAAACUUUUCUGUUCCAUUUCAUUAUGCACGAUAAAUUUCUGUUCCGUUUCAAAAAAAGCUUUCAUACUUAUACCGAAUUUGGUUUGUUCGUGUGCAUUCAUUCAAUCCUGUAAAGGAUCCAUGGAAGGCUACUAGACGAAAAGAUAAGCAAUUUGUUUUGGCAUACCGAGCUUGUAUGACAUGCGUGGCCCGACAUAACUUGCAAUGCGGGACAUGACAAAAGCGGCAACCAAACAAGCUCUUUCUAAAACCAAGGGAAAGGCUCCACACGGUAGCCACUACAGUUUCCAAAUUCCAAUGCUCGCGUGUUAGUCGUUCCCAAGAUUUUACAACCCCGAAUGGAUGCCCCUCGCGAGAAGCCGCUGCUCUUCCUGUGUGAGGAACACGCAUUGAGGUCAACAUGCAUGUGUGAGAGCUCGGCCCAAGUAAAGCAGAUCAUAUGCAAAAGCUGUGCGGACUGGCCAUGCGUGCGUGCACGCGUACGGCAAGUGUGUACGUGGAGAAGAUGAACAGGACGCGCAAGUCAGCAAGCCCUGUGAAUCUGGCAAUCUGGGUGGUCGCCGGCCAAGU